CUUUAGCCCUGAUCGUAGUGGAAAUCAUUUUUGUUUUUCUUUAAAAACAAAAAUAUUGUAGCGGAGAGCAGGUGCCAUA
rnacentral:sRNA from 1 species